rnacentral:rRNA from 1 species
AGCGAACGCUGGCGGCAUGCCUAACACAUGCAAGUCGAACGAGAUCUUCGGGUCUAGUGGCGCACGGGUGCGUAACGCGUGGGAAUCUGCCCUUUGGUUCGGAAUAACAGUUGGAAACGACUGCUAAUACCGGAUGAUGACGAAAGUCCAAAGAUUUAUCGCCAGAGGAUGAGCCCGCGUAGGAUUAGCUAGGUGGUGUGGUAAAGGCGCACCAAGGCGACGAUCCUUAGCUGGUCUGAGAGGAUGAUCAGCCACACUGGGACUGAGACACGGCCCAGACUCCUACGGGAGGCAGCAGUGGGGAAUAUUGGACAAUGGGCGAAAGCCUGAUCCAGCAAUGCCGCGUGAGUGAUGAAGGCCUUAGGGUUGUAAAGCUCUUUUACCCGGGAUGAUAAUGACAGUACCGGGAGAAUAAGCUCCGGCUAACUCCGUGCCAGCAGCCGCGGUAA